rnacentral:rRNA from 1 species
GAUGAACGCUGGCGGCGUGCCUAACACAUGCAAGUCGAGCGAACGGACGAGAAGCUUGCUUCGCUGAUGUUAGCGGCGGACGGGUGAGUCACACGUGGAUAACCUACUUAUCAGUCUGGGAUAACCACGGGACACCGGAGCAUACACCGGAUGAUAUUUUGCACCGUAGGGUUCAAAAGUGAAAGACGGCCGUGCUGUCACUUAUAGCUGCAUCUGCGCUGCAUGAGAUAGUUGGUAAGGUAACGGCUUACCAAGGCUACGAGGCGUAGCCGACGUGGGAGGGGGAUCGGCGGCACGAGAGCGGGGACGGGGUCCAGGCUCCUACGGGAGGCAGCAGUAGGGAAUCUGCCGCAAUGGGCGGAAACCUGGCGGAGCGACGCCGCGUGAGUGGUAAAGGUCUUCGGUGCGUGAAGCUCGGUUUUUGGGGGUGAACAGAUGUGGAAGUAGCUGAGCAGUGCGUGACGGUACCUAAUCAAAAAGCCACGGCUAACUACGUG